rnacentral:rRNA from 1 species
UACAGAGGUCUCAAGCGUUGUCCGGAUUCAUUGGGCGUAAAGAGCUCGUAGGCGGCUUGGCAAGUCGGGUGUGAAAACUUCAGGCUCAACCUGGAGCGGCCACUCGAUACUGCCAUGGCUUGAGUCCGGUAGGGGACCACGGAAUUCCUGGUGUAGCGGUGAAAUGCGCAGAUAUCAGGAGGAACACCGGUGGCGAAGGCGGUGGUCUGGGCCGGAACUGACGCUGAGGCACGAAAGCUAGGGGAGCAAACGGG